CCAGACCCUGUUUGCCUGGGUAUCACCAGCAGAGGCUGCAGAACAGCAAAGAUUGCUGCCUUUUCCUUCCUCUGGGAAGCUUCGUCCCAGAGGGGCACCUGCCAGAUGCCAGCCGGAGCUCUUGUAUAUGAGGUGAAAAGCAAUCACGGAGUUAAAAGAAGACAAGCUGAAAUGAUGCAGGCUGCUCCUAUGUUGGAAAUUUG
rnacentral:lncRNA from 10 species